rnacentral:rRNA from 1 species
GACGAACGCUGGCGGCGUGCUUAACACAUGCAAGUCGAGCGGUAAGGCCCUUUCGGGGGUACACGAGCGGCGAACGGGUGAGUAACACGUGGGUGACCUGCCCUCAGCUCUGGGGUAAGCCUGGGAAACCGGGUCUAAUACUGGAUAUGACUCCAUGACGCAUGUUGUGGGGUGGAAAGCCUUGUGCGGCUGAGGAUGGGCCCGCGGCCUAUCAGCUUGUUGGUGGGGUGANGGCCUACCAAGGCGACGACGGGUAGCCGGCCUGAGAGGGCGACCGGCCACACUGGGACUGAGACACGGCCCAGACUCCUACGGGAGGCAGCAGUGGGGAAUCUUGCGCAAUGGGCGAAAGCCUGACGCAGCGACGCCGCGUGAGGGAUGACGGCCU